ensembl:snRNA
GUAUUGUAUGAAAAGAGAGAGCAUUAACCCUCCCUUGACAAGGAUGGAAGAAUGGAUGACAACAUGCAUACAGGUAAGGCACUGUCACCUUCUUCACAGCACCUAGCCAUCCUUUUUU